UCCAGUUUCGGAAACAAUGAACAUAAUACUUAAUGCAUCACAAUUAAGCGGGUGUAGCUUCAUAUAAAAUGAUGUUCUGUGCAUUUUGGUGGCAAACUGCGCUGUGGAUCCUAUAUCUUGCCGACAUUUGUUCCUCACAAGCGAAACAUAACGAAGUAGAGACUCAAAUGUGUUUUAUUUCCUCUCGCGAUGGAGGAGGGGUCCUUUAGACUCAAGCAGCCUUGGUUUUGACAUUCCACAGCUGUUGGGGCUGUGUCACUCUGCAGAGAGGUCAGGUGACGGUCAGAAUUCGUGAGCACAGCCCAUUCAUCUCAGCCCCGGGUCUGGGUUUGAGGUCCCUCUAGAAUCUUCUCUCAGAAGCACAUUGCAUGGAAAGGACAUCUUUCAGGUUGGGCGGCAGCUGCUUCUUGAAAGUUGGCUGUUGGUCAGAUAGGCCUUUUUCAAAGAGUGGCUUUUGGAAAAUCCUCCUUAUGAGAAGGUUCCUCCUCAGGAAACCAGGUAGGGCCAGCAGUUCACAGGAAGCCUCUUUGAGGUUUAGCUCAAAAGGUUGGUCCUCAGGAAUAAGAUUUGGGCACCUCAGAUGGCCAGCUCUGAGGUCAGCAUCAGAUCUGAUGUGACAGCCAGGGGGAUUAUGAAGUCCCUGCUGGAUGCCUGCAGUGGGAUGUAAGAGGCCUUUGUAGGUCAUUUCCUUUAAUCCUCAGAAGAGCCCCAGUGUUGGUGAGGAGUGGAGGUGGCAAGUAUUAUUCACAUUUUACAUAAGAGAAAAAGCCGGAGAAAUCCAGCGAGGUGCCUAAGGGCAUACAGCUGCUGGAGGGUACAGGUCUACACCUCUUCAGUGUGUGUUAUCAUACCAUGCCCACCACCAGUGCACCCAUAAUCUUCCACUGCAGUCUGUCAAGUGCCCUCCCAGCAGAGUUCUGAGCACUCAUCAGGGACUAGUAUUUAUGGAAGGAAAGAAAGAUGACACACUAGCCCCAUGCUUUUUAAGGGCAUUAGCUGUGGACUCGGACAGACCCAAGGUUGAAUUUUAUGGCCCUGGACACAUGGAUCCACCAGGGGAAAGAGAAGCAAAAAGCUCCCCCUAAGCAAUUUGGGGUUCAUAAGUAGGGAUGCAGGGGAAACCCUCACAGAUGACAUACAAAGCCCCCUUCUGGAUGAAAGCCUACUGAGAAGAAGUUUUGUUUCUGGGAAAACUGGUCUGUCAUCUCCAUUUGAUCUUUAAUUAUUUUCAAAAGGCAACUCCUUUCAUCAUGAGCCCUCCAGAGUUCAGUCAAAGUUUUCUGGGCCUGCCUUAUUUGGGAAACAUUUGUGCUUUGUGAAGAUUCAGACACGCCAAUAUUUAAGAGGCCGUGCCGGGGAUCAUCAUCUCCAGUCCAAGGAACCAGUUGGCAGAGACCAGCAAACAAGGAACCUUUUGUGCCUCCAUAAUUGAAGAGCAGCAGGCAUUUUAUAACUGCUGAGUGGACUUCAAAGUUAAUUACCAUUGAGAACUCUGAAUAAAAUAAUCCUAUGCAACACUGGGGAAUCAGGAAUGUUUCAGGCAUUUAUUUAUAUUAAAGAACUGAAACUUGCACUAUCCAGUAAAAAUAUAAGGGGAGCCACAGAGGUCAUUGAAAAUUUUCUAGAACUAUGUUCACAACACUGAAAAA